rnacentral:rRNA from 1 species
UACGUAGGCAGCGAGCGUUUGUUCGGAGUUACUGGGCGUAAAGCGUGCGUAGGCGGUGUCUUAAGUUUGUUGUGAAAUCUCCCGGCUUAACCGGGAGGGUGCGGCGAAUACUGAGAUGCUGGAGUGCGGGAGAGGUAAGCGGAAUUCCCGGUGUAGCGGUGAAAUGCGUAGAUAUCGGGAGGAACAUCAGUGGCGAAAGCGGCACCCUGGCAUUAGCCUGACGCUCAGGGUGCGAAAGCGUGGGGGAGCGAAACGGG